GAUGAACGCUGACAGAAUGCUUAACACAUGCAAGUCAACUUGAACUUCGGUUUGGGUGGCGGACGGGUGAGUAACGCGUAAAGAACUUGCCUCACAGCUAGGGACAACAUUUGGAAACGAAUGCUAAUACCUGAUAUUAUGAUUAUAUGGCAUCGUAUAAUUAUGAAAGCUAUAUGCGCUGUGAGAGAGCUUUGCGUCCCAUUAGCUAGAUGGAGAGGUAACAGCUCACCAAGGCGAUGAUGGGUAGCCGGCCUGAGAGGGUGAUCGGCCACAAGGGGACAGAGACACGACCCUUACUACUACGGGAGGCAGCAGUGGCGAAUAUUGGACCAUGGACCGAGAGGCUGAUCCAGCUAUUCUGUGUGAAGGAAGAAGGUUUUCGGAAUGUAAAGGGCUUUCAGUUGAAAAGAAAAAAAUGACGGUACCAACAGAAGAAGUGACGGCUAAAUACGUG
rnacentral:rRNA from 1 species